GGAAGCGGUAAAUUCCUGGAUAAUACCAAUAAAUGCAUAAAACCAAGACUGAAUCAUGAAGAAAUGGCAAAACUGACCGACCAAUAACAAAUAAGGAGACGGCAUCAUUAUCAGAAACGUGUCAGAAAGACAAGUCCAAGAAGAGUUGGCUUCACAGGAGGUGAUCACACAGGAGAUGGAAAGUUAACAACAAAACGUGAUAUUUCUGGAGGGAUGAAGUGGCCAAAAGUAACUAUGAAGCUUUAUUUUCACUGAGGCUAAUUUGCAAACCUUGAGAGCAUAUGGAACCCAAAGAUGAUGAUACAAGUAUUCUAACUCACUGGACAUUAUUGACCUUUAAGUAAAAUGGCAUAUAUCAGCUGGUGACCAGAGUGGUCUGUGGCCAUACGUAAAGCCAUCUGUACGUAGAAUUAAGAAAACGAAGGAAAAAGAAUAUAUACAACAACCAACUCGGAGGCUUCAUAUUUACUCAGUUCCAUAUAGGAAAUAGCCAUCGCUCUCCCGGUGGUAAUUCUCCCCCAUCACGUCCUCUAACUCGGGAUGCGUUUGCCACAUUUGCGGUUGUGAGUGUGGCCUCAAUCUGCAAGCUCCCCUCAUGCGCGUCUGCCUUCCCGACCGACCUUUUAAUUCGAAAAGAGACAACGA